GUGAGUCAUCGAAUCUUUGAACGCACAUUGCGCCCAUUAGUAUUCUAGUGGGCAUGCCUGUUCGAGCGUCAUUUCAACCCUUAAGCCCUUGUUGCUUAGCGUUGGGAGCCUACGGCACCGUAGCUCCCCAAAGUUAGUGGCAGAGUCGGCUCACACUCUAGACGUAGUAACUUCUCACCUCGCCUAUAGUUGGACCGGUCCCUUGCCGUAAAACACCUCAUUUUCCAAAAGGUUGACCUCGGAUCAGGUAGGAAUACCCGCUGAACUUAAGCAUAUCAAUAAGCGGAGGA
rnacentral:misc_RNA from 1 species